AGUGAACGCUGGCGGUAGGCCUAACACAUGCAAGUCGAAUGGCAGCACAGUAAGAGCUUGCUCUUACGGGUGGCGAGUGGCGGACGGGUGAGGAAUACAUCGGAAUCUACUUUUUCGUGGGGGAUAACGUAGGGAAACUUACGCUAAUACCGCAUACGACCUACGGGUGAAAGCAGGGGAUCUUCGGACCUUGCGCGAUUGAAUGAGCCGAUGUCGGAUUAGCUAGUUGGCGGGGUAAAGGCCCACCAAGGCGACGAUCCGUAGCUGGUCUGAGAGGAUGAUCAGCCACACUGGAACUGAGACACGGUCCAGACUCCUACGGGAGGCAGCAGUGGGGAAUAUUGGACAAAGGGCGCAAGCCUGAUCCAGCCAUACCGCGUGGGUGAAGAAGGCCUUCGGGUUGUAAAGCCCUUUUGUUGGGAAAGAAAAGCAGCAGGUUAAUACCCCGCUGUUCUGACGGUACCCAAAGAAUAAGCACCGGCUAACUUCGUG
rnacentral:rRNA from 1 species